AACCAGCUUGGGCGGCGCUAUGUUUCGAAUCUGGUCAGGUCCUGGCGGAAGCAGCCAUAAGGAGCCGCUGGCGAGCGCCCAAGCUUUCUGAUUUCA
rnacentral:SRP_RNA from 1 species